UACGGAGGGAGCUAGCGUUGUUCGGAAUUACUGGGCGUAAAGCGCGCGUAGGCGGCUUUGUAAGUUAGAGGUGAAAGCCCGGAGCUCAACUCCGGAACUGCCUUUAAGACUGCAUCGCUUGAAUCCAGGAGAGGUGAGUGGAAUUCCGAGUGUAGAGGUGAAAUUCGUAGAUAUUCGGAAGAACACCAGUGGCGAAGGCGGCUCACUGGACUGGUAUUGACGCUGAGGUGCGAAAGCGUGGGGAGCAAACCGG
rnacentral:rRNA from 1 species